rnacentral:lncRNA from 1 species
CGUGUCGUGGAAGGAAUCAGUUAAUCUUAUUAUUAGUCCGUUGACAACGAUACCUUAUUUAGGAAUACAAAGUUAGAGUUUAGAACCUUUUACAACAUGGGCUUAUGGGCCUAUAAUGGACAUCCACAUUAAUAUCCAUAACAUAUUUACCAUAAUAAUUCGAUGUCAUUUAUUUUACGUAUUAACUGUAAUAAUUUCACGUGUUUAAACGAAAUUAUUUCAUUAGCGACAAUAAUUCAAACCGGUUACCAAAUUAUUUUUAUUUAUUUAUAUAAUCAGCUAGACAUUGACAUUCAAAUAUACAUUAGGAUACAAAUCGAUUUUUAUGGGAAUUGGGUUUUUGGAUUUUAAAAUUAAACCAUGUUCAGGUAUUAUAAAAUUUUGGAUAGGAUUCGAUUAAGAUUCUUUCGGAUCCGGUAAGUUUGUAUGAACCUAAAAAUAUCUAAUAACCUAUAUGUUUACAAAUGUUACUAAACAAUUUAUAAAGAGUUAAAAACCAAACCCACAUGAGCGUGCAAGGCAAGUUCUAGUUAUCAUUAUGUAUAAAGUACAAUUAAUUACACCAGGUUUCAAAGUUUAAAUGGUCUAAAGUAUAAUUUAUGAAAUAUAAUUCAUGUGGCUAGGUGGCGUCCGUCUCUGAUUCAUGUCCCAUGAAGAGCAACCAGACUUGCCUGUUACCGGUGGUAAGUCCCCGGAGGAUUAGUCAGUUGGGUUCGGAUCCGCCGGACACCCAUGGUUAAUAAAAAAGGUAGAAUUUAUGAGAUCAACACCAU